CAGCAGCCGCGGGAAUACGUAGGUGGCAAGCGUUGUCCGGAAUUAUUGGGCGUAAAGGGCUCGCAGGCGGUUUCUUAAGUCUGAUGUGAAAGCCCCCGGCUCAACCGGGGAGGGUCAUUGGAAACUGGGAAACUUGAGUGCAGAAGAGGAGAGUGGAAUUCCACGUGUAGCGGUGAAAUGCGUAGAGAUGUGGAGGAACACCAGUAGCGAAGGCGACUCUCUGGUCUGUAACUGACGCUGAGGAGCGAAAGCGUGGGGAGCGAACAGGAUUAGAUACCCCAGUAGUCCCUGUCUCUUAUAC
rnacentral:rRNA from 1 species